AGCAAACCAAACCACCAUAAUUAUUACUGACAGCAAGUGAUUAGUAGAUAAUUUAGUUCGCUAAAUCAUUAAAAUGAAAUGUGUAGCUGUAUAGCAUGUCAACCCAGUGUAUAUCCCUAAAAAUCUGCAGCCGUCGUUAUCCUUUUCUUCCCUUUGAUUUUUAUCCAGACAAUCCUAUCCAUCCGGCCGCUAGUUGAAAAAUCUGCCGCCGCUUUGGGCUGUAAAAAUCCCCCGUGAAGACUUAUCUUCUUCCCCAGCCAUCUCCUCUAGCGCUUGGCUUCCUGCUUAUCGGCUUCUCUUCCUCCACGCGCCAGAACCUCCCUCCGAGCUCGCGCUCAGUGGAGCUCAAUCCCUGCCGCGUGUUGCUCCUGCUUCCUCCGCGCCGCGCGCCCUGGUGUCUGCGCGCUCCUCUCCCUCCCUGAGCUCUGUCUCACGCGGCGUCUCUGGUCUCCAGCAGCGGAGCUGCUUCUUCCCCAGCCCCGACGCCGUCGGCCGGACCUCCCUCUACCGGCUGUGAAGCUCGGUUCUGGCUUGGAUUCCCGGCGUCCCUCCAUCCUGCCUGCGCCCCCUCAGCUCGUGGAACCCCACGCUCGCCGGAUCUCCUCUGCGUCACGCGCCGGGCCUGCUCUCUGCUCGCUCCGCGCACCUGGCUAGCUUCUGCUCGGACCGAUCCAUCUUCUCAGUCGCGCGCCGGUUGUUUCUUCCCUGCGCGUCGCGAUCUCGUCCUGGCUUCCUUGCUGCGGUCGUCCUGGUAGCCACACCCAGCUGAAGCCCCUUUUUCCCGCGAGCUCCUCCCAGCUAGCUGUCGAGCUCCCUUUCGUGCGUUCUCCUGUGUUUAGCCUUGAUGCGCGCGCUCCUCUGCUUGCCAGUGUUCCCAGCUCGCCCGACCGUAGUGUUAGCACUCCUCGACGUCGGCGUUGAGUUUGGGACCCUGCUCGCUGUCGCGGCCGCCGUUAAAUCGUCGGAGUCGCUCAACUCGUCAAUCGCAUCUGAGUCGGUCGUUGAUUUUCUAUUCGCCAUGGUACAACACCGUUAUUAAAUCCGUUCUUCAACCCGCCAUGGCGUUCGUCGUUCUCUGAUCCCAGCCCGAACCAUCCGUGCGCUCGCUCCUUAUCCAUCAGGUUUUGGUGUGUUCGCGUUUAUCGUCAAGUCGUCGAACCUGUCAUCCUCUACUCGAUCCCUCUCAUCAUCUCGCUCCUGAAUUGAUCUCGUCGUUGUUCCGUACGUCAUCAAGAAAUCCCAAGAAUUAGGUGAAGACGAAGCUAGCAGCGCGAUAUUUCCCAAGCGCUCGACAAAUUGCCUGGAUCGGAAAAUCGCUACCGAUCUCGCGGAUUCGUGUCAGCUGUGAAAACGGUGCGAUAAUUAAUCACGUGAUGCGGAAGAUGACUCAAGUCGACCCCAAGCGCGGGCUAAUCCGCAGGAUGAAGCUGAUGGACCAACCUGACGAUGGUUAAAUCAAGCAAGUGCUCGAUCGAAGAAUACUCAUCAAGUGGACGUCACCUAACCAACACUAACCUAGUGUUACCCAGGCAAGCCCCGGUGCAUGCAACCCCUUCCUUGUGUUUUUAAAUACUUUU